rnacentral:rRNA from 1 species
GCCUACGGGGGGCAGCAGUCGGGAAUAUUGCGCAAUGGAGGAAACUCUGACGCAGUGACGCCGCGUAUAGGAAGAAGGUUUUCGGAUUGUAAACUAUUGUCGUUAGGGAAGAUACAAGACAGUACCUAAGGAGGAAGCCCCGGCUAACUAUGUGCCAGCAGCCGCGGUAAUACAUAGGGGGCAAGCGUUAUCCGGAUUUAUUGGGUUUAAAGGGUGCGUAGGCGGUUUGAUAAGUUAGAGGUGAAAUGUCGGGGCUCAACCCCGAAACUGCCUCUAAUACUGUUGGACUAGAGAAUAGUUGCGGG